AGUUUCUGACCUUCUAUACUUUUUCGCCGACUUUCACGGACAAGCUUAAGAAGCGCCUUAUUCUGAAGAGUGCCCCAUACACGAUGAUUCGUGAUGCUUUGUAUAAACAAGGACGCGAUGGUCUUUUACGGCGCUGUAUCUUUCCCAGUGAAGUACAGUCGAUACUUACAGGUUGUCAUUUGGAUAGUUGUGGUGGUCAUUUCGCGGGAGACAGCACU
rnacentral:lncRNA from 1 species